UCCGCAGGGCCUGCCUCCACUGCCCCCGGGCCCAGCUCACCAGGACACAGUACUCCUUGCCGGGUUCCGUGGAGACGGCACUGAUGUCGGCCAGCCUGGCUGUGCCCAGGGAGCGGAAGAAGCUGGUCUGGCAGUCCUCGUGGCAGGUGAAGAGGCGGUCAUCGGUAAUCACCAGGCAGCAGGGGAUGCAGGGGCUGGGGGUCACCCCCUGGGGGAUGACCUGAAGGGCAUCGGCAGAGGGGAGAGGCAAGCUGGAGCUCUCCGGGGGUCGGUGGCACCAGACCUGCCCCCUCCAGGGGCCCAGCCAGCCCUUGGGCUCCCCCUGCUCCAGAGGUCAGGCGGGCUCCACCCAAGUCGGAAGUGGAGGUGGGGACAGGGGUGACAGUGGGAGUGUCCGGCCCACAGGCGGCCCUGAGCCCGAGGACCCGCUCCUGGGCUGUCCCCUGGAGGUCCCCGUCUUCGUCCUCAUGGGCCUCUCUGUGAGCGUGUGUGCCUCUGGGGAAGGGACACCGGAGGGGGCUGGACGGGGUCGGGAGGCCAGACGAGCGGCGCAGGCCGGAGGCGCUCACCCCUUUGGACACGGCCUGGCAGAGCUGCUGCAUCCAGCCGGCCAUCUCGGCCUCGCUGUCCGCGCUCAGCUCCAGGCAGGGCCGGUCGGCGAGGAUGACCUGGAAGGCGUGGGGCCGAUCCGUGGUGUUGGCUCUCCGACAGCCACCGCACUGCUCCCCCCUGGGCCAGAGGAGGAGGGGUGAAAGGGGAGCAAGGAGGCAGGGGUGGCGUCGGACACGGGUGCGCCUGCACCCGCGGUCCCGGGGGCUGGAGGCCACCGGAAGGUGCUAUGGACCCCUUCGGCUCUCGGGAGAGACUUAAAGCUGCCAGGCGGGCCCGGCCCUUUCCGAGUGACAACUUCUGCAAGGGGAACUGCCAGAAUUGCCAAGAUCCUUCUAGAAAUCUCAACCUGGCCAGGCAAGGGGUGAGAAUCCGCUCUUAGCUCUGGCCCUCUUGGCAUCAGGGCACAUUCAUUCCCGUUGCCUCUGUGGGCCCCAGGUUUUCUCCAAGCACCUGUGCGUCCAUCUUCCAUCAGGUAAGGAGCUUCCCGGGAGAGGGACCGCCUCCCCUGCCCGGACAGACCCUCCUGGCAAGGAGUUCCUCUUGCUCCCCUGACAGGACGAUGCCCAGCCUCCCCUUGCUUGGGGUCCUAUAGCCUCAGGGCUCAGCAGACCCCAGGGCAGCGGUCAGGGCUGCUGGAUGGGGUGGGGCUGAGUGGGGGCAGGCCGAACUGAUUGACACAAGGGGGUGGGGUGUCAGCUCGAGCCAGGGAGAACAGGAGCCCCGGGUCCCAGGCUCGGCCAGAGCCGCCACCUGCGGGCAGCACCGCCAGGCCUCACGCCUGCCCAGUCCCCCAUCGCUAGGACACUCACCCCAUGUUCACAGAGAGCAGAGGGGUGACAUCUGUGCGGUCAGGAUACUGGUAGAGGAUCCCGUUGCUGUAGGGGCGCAACAUGGCAGGGGUGAGGCCCGUCGCAAGAACCGAAGGCCAGGUGGGGCCCAGAUCCCGGGGGGGCCUGCAACUGGGGCCUUAAGCCCCAGAGGCCAAGGGGCCUGCCCUCUGUGGAAGGGAAGGUGAAGAGAGAACUGCAGAGGCUCGGGAGGGCGUGCUGUCCCCUCAGCAGACCUGGGGAUGGCGAAAACCUUGGCCGCAGCCCUGCCCGGACCCCUACCUGAUGUGCCCCAGGAUCCUCGGGCCCCAGAGACGGCCGCUUUACACAGAAGCUCUCGCAGCCCGGAGGGGGUCUGCUCCAAAACCCUUGUCGGGGUGGAAAGAUGCCCCCGUGGGCUUCUCUCCCCGGUGGCCGGCCCAAGGGAGACCCCUGCUGAGGGCCCAACAAGCCCCAGGUCGAGCCCGGGGCCAGAGCUGUGGGAGCCCCCACCUGAGGACCACGAAGCAAGUCUUCCAGUGCUCUUUGCCCAAGUAGGAGGUGCCCGCCUUGUAAUGCAGCAUGCCUUCUUUGGUGAUGGCGCCCUCAGGGGGUGAGCAGUGGCAGGGCACUGGACCCAGGGACUCAUCCAGGGGGUCCUCCCAGUGCACAAGCCCGUAGAAGCGCACGGUGACAGCGGUGGCCUGCGUGCGGGGAGGGGGCAGCAGACAGAGUGGUGAGGUCUGGGUCGGGCUCACCAGCGGCCCAGCACCAGGAAUGGCCGCUGAGAAAGCAAGGCCGUGCCCCAAGUGGGGUGGGGGAUGGGACCCGAGGGUAGGAGAGCCCCUCCCAGGUGGGUGAUGGAGAGGUCCUAAAGACGUCCUUUUGCGUCGCCUGGCCCCUAACACCACCAUACCUCCCCUGCACUCCCGGCUCUACCUCACACUUAGAUUCCUGGGCCACGAAUUUGGCCAGUGCCAGCUUCUCCAUGGUGGCAUCAGUCAGGAUGCUGGGGUAAGGUGGCUCCCGGCAGCCUUUGAUCAUGGCGGACUUCAAAGAAGCCAAGAAGAACCUAUACAAGGGAGUGGGGUUUGCUGUCAGAGGCCUGGGGGACCUCCACCCUUCAACUGGACGGGAUCCUGGCCUGGAGGGGUCCCAGGAACUUUGGGGAGGGACCCGGCCGGAAGCAGAGCUCAGGGCAGCAGGCGGGGCGAUGAUGCACCGGUCGGUUGCCAUCAGCUGUGACCUGGAAGAGGCCUAACCGUUCCCCGUGGCCGAGGUGCCUGGGGUCUGACGGGGAGGCAGGACCAGGUGAGGGGAUGCCGCAGAACGGGUGGGACCCGGGUGCCCGUCACCAUCCGAUCUUAUCAUGUGUACUUUCUGUAUGAGAGCACAAGGGCCAGCAGUGGGGCUCGGGUGUCCUUCCUGGCGGGUGACUCACACCAGCCCCCUUCCUCUCCGCAGGCCACGCAGGGUCUGAGGUCACCUGAACUGACGACGGAGCCAGUCAGUGUGUGUGUACCUUUCCCUGCAGGUGCCGGAGGGAACACAUCUGCUCCGCACUGGUUUGUGUCCCACUUCUCCCCCUCCUGCCCCAAGGGUGGGGAGACCAGGCCAGGACCUCCAGUCCUACAGGAACGGGGAGGUGGGGGAUUGGCCGGGGGGGGGGGGGAGCGUCACUCACUCAGCCAGGGCCACGUCAGCCGUGUCCAGCAGAAACUGCUUCCUGCGGUUGGUGCACACCAGCUUCACCGUCUGCUGGUCGAGGCCCACCUGCCAGAAACGAUACCUUCACAUGCACAAGGGGCUUGGCCGCUGCCUGGCGGAAGAGGCAGCCACGGCCAGACAGAGGGCCGGCUGGGGAGGGAGGAGGCAGACCCUGGCAUCGCCACAAGGUAAAGCCCCAGAGGCCUGGGACCCAGGGCGUGAGUCAGGGAGGGGAGGGAUGGUCAGAAAUACGGUGGACAAAGAGGCGUCCUCAGACUCGGUUCUCAUCCCCAGCAUCCUGUGGUGAAGCCCCCGGGAGAGGAGCUGACGCCCAGCCCUGGGGGCGGAGGGGUCGAGGCAGGGACGUGCCUCGCUCUGAGCUCCCGAGGUGGGUGGCCAGAGGAGCCCCGUCCUAUGCAGUUGGCCUAUGCCAACCGCAGAUCCUGCACUCACCGACACAUAGUCAAGCUCGUUGUAAGAAACUGCCUCUUCCACCAGGUAUGGCUUCUCCGCGGCCCCUGAGAGAGGAGACCCCAAUGCCUGUAACUCUCAGUGGCCUCUUUUCCCUCCCCCUGCCCCCUUUUCUAAGACUGGCCCCUCUCUCAGCGAGGACCCGUCCUUGUCCUGCGACCUGAGAUGACAGACUAGGACAGUGACACGGGGUGCUCGUGGCGGGCAGGCCCCCGGGCUCGUCUUGGGGCGGAGUGGAGUGUUUUCGCCACCACACGCCAGGCAGCCGAGAGCCAGGGGCGGGGGGCACAGAGGGAGGGAGGGUGGUCAGUGUCGUCCUCGACCCGCUCUCAGCAGCUGCCCUGGCCUAGCCCGGGGGCGGCGGGCACCUUUCCGGAGCAGGUAGACAUAGCAGUCUGUGAGCAGCACGUACAGCAGCUGCAGGGUGCCCUCCAUGUGCCCGGUGCUCAUCCGGAUCAUCUGAGGGGCGGAGACAGGGGACGGUCAGGCACCCCGGCUCCCGCCCCCGGCCCGGGCCAGCGCGCUUUUGCCCCUGGCCCCUGAGCUCCCGGGACUUACUUUGAAGAGCUGCUCUUCGUUUUCUCGAAACACGUGGAUCAUCAGCAGGAGUAAGUGAUUGUUGUCUACCCUGUGAGAGGGACAAGCGUGGGGAGGGUGAAGGCCAGGAGGGGGGUGGGAGGGGACACAGGCACGCGGCGGCACCGUUGUCGCGGCUCUGCUCCUGACCAAGAGCCAGAGCGAGGGAGGGGAGACGUGCGCCCCGUCCCAGCCCCCAGCCCAGGCUAGUUCCUCCGGGGGUUCUGCUUGGUUCGUUGGGAGGACGACGCCCACUGUCCCCUGCUUUGCAGGCCGGGGGCGUCUCACGGCAGCCGCACCGGGAGCCUUGCUCACCUGAACUCUGCCGAGUGGGUCAUCUCAGAAGGGCUCCCCUGCCCCUCAUCCACCCCCGAGUCCUCAGCGCUGCUCAGACACGGGCUGGGCUGGUCUCGCUUGAGCUGGCAGAGAGCCUCGUGGGUCCCGGGCUCUGCUUCGGGCACAGGUCCGUCACCCGCAGGGGGCAACUGCGUCUCCAGGCCCCGGGUCUCUGGCUCCCGGGCUUCCCCCGGGGUGUCCUCUAGGGGCCCAGGUGCCUGUCCCUCUCUUCUUCCUCCUCCCUCUUCUUGGCCAGCAGUCGCAGGGCCACCAGGAACAUGCAGCGGUUGGCCAGGCCCUGCAGGGUCAUGGUUGCUGCCACUUGAUGUAAGAGCGCUUGGACUCUCGACGGUAAAGCGGUAGAAGUCCAUUGGGGCUGGAAGCCCCUCACUAAAGUCGCAAAAUGGCGGCUUCUCCGGGGCAUCCCCGGGAGAGCCGGUCCGAAAGGACUGGUCUGGGGACUGGAUGUGGGAGCGCCAGGCGCUGGGGUCCAGCUGCCCGUUGAGCUGGUCGAUGACCUUACUCAGGGGCUGCCCCAAGCGCUCCAUGGAGGUGUCCUUCAUUUCGGGGAUGAGCAGACCCAUCUGGCCCGGCUCCGGGAGCUCGCUGCUCUCAGCUGUGCCGCUGGGCCCCUCUCCCUCCUCCUGGGGGGAAGUGAAGGUAGCGUCCGGUGAGGCCCGCCCAAGGCCUGGGCUGCUGACGAGGCUGUCACCAUCGCCCCGCCUGGCACAGCUGUCCUGGCUGGAGGAGGGGUGAAGCGGGCUAGCUUCCUCAUCCGAUCUGGUCUUCUUCUUCUUGCCGGUUUUCUUCUUCUUGGUGACCCUGGGACGGUAGCGAUGGGGAGAGAUUUACCAUCUGGGCGCCACUGAGCUGGGGAAUUAGGUGGGCUGGGUCAAAACAGGUGAUUCUGGGCGUGUGACCUCUGAGGGCACAGCCAAGCUUCCAUGGUCCUGGGCAGUGCUGGCUGGGAGGCCCUAGGCCAGGGGCACAGAGCAGCUCAGGCCCUGAGGGACCCCCUGCUGUUGGCAGAGACAGGGACCAGAGGAACCCCUGAGCAGGUCCCACGGAUUCUAGCCGAUGACACAAAUGAGCUAGCUGUGUUCUGGGGGGACAAAACAGGCCACGGUCGGUCGGAGCGAUGGCGCCUCCCUUCAGCCCUCCCCUUAGGAUGUGGCUGGUGGACCCUGGGCGGACCUCACUUCCCAUUAGGUGUCACUGUGGAUAAUUCAACCAAAAGUGGACUUAAACUCUUUCGGGCUCAAACCCCUUGGUUGCAAAUUGGCUGGGACGGGCGUGGCAAGGCGACCCCAGGUCUGAACCCAUGAAGCCACUCAGGACUCGAACCACCCUGCAGAGGGGGACCCCUGACUCCAGUCACUGGGGAGCAAGGCCGGCAAGCCCCGGGGGUAGGACACACACAUCUUCUCACCCAGGGCUGAGAGCCUCAGGGCGGGAGCCAGGGGCAGUCGGGAGCCCAAUCCGUCAGCACUUCCUCCCUUCUAGGUAGGCCCCUGGCGAUGGAUGGAGACCCUUUUCUUUCAAGGAGCCAUGCUGAACUACAAUCGGUACAGACCUCAGAAACUGUACAGCGACACCCAAGGACCCCCUGGGGAAGAAUUCCAGUCUGAAGGGACUUUGUGGCCCUGGAUGAACCUGACAAAUGCCCCCCACCCAGGCGUGGCUCCGGUCAUGGCCUGUGCCACACUGUCUUCCGGGCUCGGGCCCUCUGUUUCUUCUUGCUCAAAGAACUGCGGGAGAACCACUCAGUCUCCAGGCAGAUGCCCAUGUGCCCCCCCCAGGGGGUGCGUGUGGUCCCAGUCUGCACGGACAACGUGACACUAGGAGUGCACAGGAUGGACGUCAGGAUAUGCUCAUCCAACUGCUCUCGGGGCCCCUCCCCACCGACCUGAUGACCUCCAGCUCCGUGCAGGCGUCUGGCAGGUCAAGAGUGCGGGAUUCCCCCUUCUCCUGGGACGUGGUGUGCACAGGGGUGGUGUCGGAGGAGGACACGGUCUCUGCCUGGUCCUCACUGAAAGGGUUGUGGCGCUGGGUGGGACUCUUGGUGGAAGCCUUGCUGCUGGUCGGGUCCGAGGCGGUAGAGCGGGGCCCGCUGACAGUGUCUGUGAGGUCUCCAUCUGGGAGAACGGGAAACAGGAGACAGCCCGUCAGACAGCAUCUGGGGCCCCCGGGCCCCCAAGGCAUGCCUUAUCCCAUGAGGGAGGCGGGUGAGUUCCUCCCAGGGAAAUCCGACCGGGGUGGCCCUGCUUUAAGAUUUGAAGCCCCAGAGCAACAGGACCAGGGACCUGGGCUUGAAGAGCGACUUGGAGGGACACCACCACCACCUGCACUGGGAACCCUCAAGAGCUCGUAGCAAUCUGGCCGAGUGCGAGUUAAGAGCCCUGAGGUUAAACAGCCUCCAGGCUGAAGCCCCUUAGGACAGUGACCUCGAUGCCUCAAGAGGAAAUGAGCCACAGACCUCUCAGGUUAACCUCAGAGCCUUCCGACGGAGAGUGCCAGAGGGGCACUGGGGAGCCCCUUCAGCACCAAACGCCACCGGCAGGGCUGAGAUACCCAAAGUCCUCUGAAGGGUGCCCCCCCCGGAGGCAGAUAAGACGCAACAAUGGCAGAGAGAAUAGAGGGAGAGACUGGGAAUCAGAGAAAAUGAGGGGUGCAGAGUCGGGGCAGGGGCUGAGGGCAGGACAGGGAGCCCAGAGAGUGAGGAGCGUGGGGGAAGGGCAGAAGACGGACCCAGAGCACAGGAGGCAGGAUGCGAGGCCAGAUCAGGGCAACGAGGAGAUGCCAAGGGGAGAAGAAAGGUGUGCCGAGUGGCUGCCCCCCAACAGCUGCCUCAUGGGCUCUUCGGUGGCCGCUUCUCUCCCUGACAUCCUAUCCGCUCACUCCUGGGGCGGGGGGUGAGGGGAAGGGGGGGCAGGACCAGGCGCCCCUUGAAGGUGAGAGCUGGGAACUCAGUUUCACUCAGCUUGCCUACUGGUCCUUUCUGGGUGGGUCACCCUGACCCUUGGCUCCACCCUGGGGAGAAGGCGGGGAGGGGAGGGAGGCUGACUCUCCAGAGAGGGGCUGGUUUAACGGCUCCCCCUGCCCCCAACCAUCCACCCCAGGUACUGGAACGGGCGUGCCUACAGCACACGGGGCACUUAUCUGGUGGCAGAUGGGAGCUGCCCCAGCAGAGGACUGAGGCCCAACCGGCGGAAGAGGCUGGGUGACAGCUAAUGGCACGGGACAGGGGACGUUCACGCCCCAUUUGCCAGCUUGCACACGUCUCGUUGGCCAUUAUCUGCCCAGAGGAGACACAGUAAACACGCUUCCCGUCCUCAGCCUCGUCUGGAAGGGCCCGACCUGCUGUCGGCUGCCUAGUGGGUCUUGGAAACCGCUGGGCAGCUGUCUGCUGAUGCAGCACAUCAGCCAGUUUUUUAAAAAGUACAGCGUCUCUUCACGGGAGGACAAAAGCGGGGCCGAGAGCAAUCGCCAGCCCUGCCAGAAAAACACUAGCAACACACGAGAUUUGCUGCUCGUGUCCCGGGACCCCAGAGCCUUCGUUCUCAGGUGCAGCAAACCUCGCCCUUUGGUCUCAAAGAAGGAUCCCGCAAGGCCAGACAUUCUUGCUCCAGCCCCCAGAGACCUGCGGCUGUCUGUGGGAGCAGCUGAGGGGCGAGUGAGCAGGCCACGGGACGUGCUGGGUGUCAGGGCUGGACGCUGGGGGGGCCCACCAGUUCUGGAAGUGAGCUGAGGACCAUGGAAGGCCGCCCCGACCCCCACUCCAGGGCCCAGAGUUUGGAGCCGCCCCCGAAUCCUGCUCCCCUCCAGGUGGAAGGAGGCAAAGCUUCCCAGGUGAGCUGCCAGAGGAACCUCGGGAACUCAGGAGGUCACGGGGUGGGGUGGGGGGCGGAUUAAGGUCACCCGGCCCCCCGGAGCCCAGCCCAGCCCCGCCCGAGCAAGCAGUGCCACCGGGGCUGUUAGCUCUCAGGCCACAGGGAGCUCUCAAGGGCUGCGGAGGAAGGUCAGGCCCUGCUUGUCAAGUGACUGCAACAGGCAGCGAGGAGCUGGGUCGGGGGAGGGGGUUAGUGGUUAGAAUCAGAGGGAGAGAGGAAAAAAAAAAAAAACAAAAAAAAAAAACCAAUGCCCAGCAUGUGCACUGCAAGAAGAGAGGUUGAGAGGGUAAAUGAUGUUACGAUGGAAUUCUGGAUUUCGGGCUGAUCUUAACUAACUACCCCGUGGCACUCUUCAGUGCUA
rnacentral:lncRNA from 1 species